rnacentral:lncRNA from 1 species
CCAGCACUCUUCUUACCAGUGGAUUGGAUUGGUGACUGCAGCUUUGUCAGCAGCCAUGACUCCAUGUCCCAGGAUGCAGGGCAACCCAUCUGGGGAAGACCCAAGGAGGCAGAGGAUGCCCUUCUAUGCAAACUACGGUGGCAGGACCAGCCUUCCACCUCCCUGGAGGUGAUCUGUGCUCUGGAUGUGCUGACUUGGAGAAGCAGGAACCUUUUUCUACAAGAGGCAGUUACCUACAUCCUGAAUUAAGGAAUCUGUUCUGAAACAACACACUCACAGAUUUAAAGCAGUAUUCUUUUUUUUUUUAACCAUAGGAGGUUUCCAGGCCAGGGACUGAAUCCGAGCUGUAGGUGUGACCUACACUGAACCUAUGGCAACAUUGCAUCCCUGCACUGGGCCAGGAAUUGAACCUGCACCUCUGAAAUAACCCAAACUGCUGUAGUCAGGUUCUGAACCCACUUUGCCACAGCGGGAAUUCCUUAAAGCAGUACUCUUCAUUGUAGAGCUCUAAUGAGGUUGUCAGCAAGGGUAAAAAGGUCAUCUUAAUGAUUUAGACCGAGUGAGUGAAUGAGGGAUCUUGUCUUGAGUUUUAUCUAUUUAAUAAGAAAUCUGUUUACUAAGAAACCAGGACCUUGACAGAGAUCCAGAAAUGAUUAUAGAAUUCUCAGCUUGGGGCUGCCAGUAUCCUCAAUGAGUAGCAGCUAAUGCUCCCAAAAUGCCCGUGGCCAUAACGCCACUUUUUUUAAAGCAUGAAAACCUUUCCUUUCAGUUUGACCAAUGCCUAUUGCACGUUUUAAAAAUAUACUUUCAUAAACAUAAUUCUGGAAAAGCUAGAGUGAUGGACAUGAAGGUCUGAGUAAAAUAAAUUAGGUGUCAUAUAUUACUCUGUUAACACAGAGUAAGAAUUUUUUCUUGCACUGCAUCUUUUUGAAGGAUCACAAAUUUCUGUGCUGCUGUCACUACAGAGCCACUAUGCAAGCUUUCUGAGAAAUUAUAAAGGACACACAAAAAGCCUUUGAAGAUGAAAGAAGGGAAAUGCUGUCCCUAUCACAGGAAAUUAGAGACUGCUGGAAUUAUAAGGGUACCAGAGCAAAUGAUCAAACAAGCCAUUAUAAUACUGUAUAGGUAGCAGUGAACAUAGCUUUUAGGAGAACAUCUUAUUAACUAGGAUUACGUAGGGUUUUUUUUUUUAAUGACAUGAGCAAAGCAGUUUUAAUACCAAUAAGAUUUCUGCGUCCACUUGGUUGAGCAAACAACAGAACCGUGGAUCUAGCUUGUCCUUUCUGUGGACUCCCCAUGACACUCUGAAUAUAUCACUCAUCCUUUUAUGUCUUGGAUUCUCUUCCAGUAAAAGCAAAUAAUACUUCCUAUUUGUCAAUAUCCCCUGGAGUGCCCUUGAGAAGUUUAGGACUGGGAUCCAAAUCCUAAGGAUAUUUGUAACCCUAAUAGAUGCUGACAGGGUGGCUUCCUGGCUCACAGCACCCCCAAAUCAGCCCCCCCCUUUUUUUGUCUUUUUGCCUUUUCUAGGGCCACUUCCCAUAGCAUAUGGAGGUUUCCAGGCUAGGGGUCAAAUCUGAGCUGUAGCCACCGGCCCACACCACAGCCACAACAACGCGGGAUCUAAGCUGCGUCUGCGACCUACACCACAGCUCAGGGCAAUGCUGGAUCCUUAACCCACUGAGCGAGGCCAGGGAUUGAACCCUCAUCCUCAUGGUUCCUAGUCGGAUUCAUUAACCACUGCGCCACGACGGGAACUCCCAAAUCAGCCCCUUUGAUGCAGAAAGUUUGUGAUAGAAAAUGGUCCUAUCUGGACUGCAGGAGCCUAGUCCCUUUGCCCACAGCUGAUUAGUACAGGGAUAGUCCCUUCAUUCCAACUGGGCUAAUCAAAUUCUUCUCCCAGGACACCAAGUGGAAAGACAGAAAGGCACUCAAAGAUUGGAAAUUGUCAAUCUAGAGAGUCGUGAGAUACUUUUAAUUAAAGUUGUGAAAUAACAGAAGUUCCCAUGUGGCUCAGCCAGUUAAGGACCUGGCAUUGGCAGUGCUGUGGAUUGGGUCUCUGCUGUGGCCUGGGUCUCUGCUGUGGCCUGGAUUUGAUCUCUAGCCCGGAAACUUCUGCGUGCCUCAGGCACAGCCAUAGAUAAAUUAAACUGUGAAAUAAUAAAAUAGAUAACAAGGCAAUAUUCUCAGCCCCUCCCCUCACACAUUGGCGUGGCUCCCUCCCAGAGCCUAUAGUCAUCCCAGCUGGGGCCUGCUGUGCAGGACAGGAACCCAUCCCUCAUCCUUUGGGGAUGCUCCAUUCUACAGCCUUCCAUCCCACAUAGGGUCAACGAGACACUGCCAAGACUCCUGCCUAUGCAGUAACCCAGGAGCCCCACGGCUGGGCCCUGGUUCCAGUAGGUGGCCUGGUGUGGUAGUUCCUCUUGCUGUCUGGCAUAGCCUCCUUUUGUGGAAUUGUAGGAGAUAGGGCUGCCAGGAUGGCGCUGACAGACCGAUUUGGGAGCCCUACACACCCUAUUGGUCCCUGUCAGAGAGCAUUACUAGCGGUAAACUUAUAUAAAUAUAGUUUAUAUAAAUCAUAUAAAAGAAUAUAAUUUAUGUUAUAUAAAUAUAUAAAUAUCAUUUAUACAAAUGUCAUUAUUUAAAUAAAUACAUUUAUAUAUGUAAUAAUUCC